GAUGAACGCUGGCGGCGUGCCUAAUACAUGCAAGUCGAGCGAACGGACGAGAAGCUUGCUUCUCUGAUGUUAGCGGCGGACGGGUGAGUAACACGUGGAUAACCUACCUAUAAGACUGGGAUAACUUCGGGAAACCGGAGCUAAUACCGUAUAAUAUUUUGAACCGCAUGGUUCAAAAGUGAAAGACGGUCUUGCUGUCACUUAUAGAUGGAUCCGCGCUGCAUUAGCUAGUUGGUAAGGUAACGGCUUACCUAGGCAACGAUGCAUAGCCGACCUGAGAGGGGGAUCGGCCACACUGGAACUGAGACACGGUCCAGACUCCUACGGGAGGCAGCAGUAGGGAAUCUUCCGCAAUGGGCGAAAGCCUGACGGAGCAACGCCGCGUGAGUGAUGAAGGUCUUCGGAUCGUAAAACUCUGUUAUUAGGGAAGAACAUAUGUGUAAGUAACUGUGCACAGCUUGACGGUACCUAAUCAGAAAGCCACGGCUAACUACGUG
rnacentral:rRNA from 1 species